rnacentral:tRNA from 1 species
AGGAUUUUAGUUUAAAAAUAAACAUUUGAUUUGCAUUCAAAAAUUACUUAAAUUUAGUAUAUCUUA